rnacentral:rRNA from 1 species
UACAGAGGGUGCAAGCGUUGUUCGGAAUUAUUGGGCGUAAAGCGCGUGUAGGCGGCUUUGCAAGUCGGGUGUGAAAGCCCUCAGCUUAACUGAGGAAGUGCGCCCGAAACUGCAGAGCUUGAAUACCGGAGAGGAUGGCGGAAUUCCCCAAGUAGAGGUGAAAUUCGUAGAUAUGGGGAGGAACACCGGUGGCGAAGGCGGCCAUCUGGACGGCUAUUGACGCUGAGACGCGAAAGCGUGGGGAGCAAACGGGG